rnacentral:siRNA from 1 species
AGAGUCUAGAGAUGGUUGAUGAAU